UGAGGAAUAUUGGUCAAUGGGUGCAAGCCUGAACCGGCCAUCCCGCGUGAAGGACGACUGCCCUAUGGGUUGUAAACUUCUUUUGUAUAGGGAUAAACCUACCCUCGUGAGGGUAGCUGAAGGUACUAUACGAAUAAGCACCGGCUAACUCCGUGCCAGCAGCCGCGGUAAUACGGAGGGUGCAAGCGUUAUCCGGAUUUAUUGGGUUUAAAGGGUCCGUAGGCGGACUUAUAAGUCAGUGGUGAAAGCCUGUCGCUUAACGAUAGAACUGCCAUUGAUACUGUAAGUCUUGAGUAUAUUUGAGGUAGCUGGAAUAAGUAGUGUAGCGGUGAAAUGCAUAGAUAUUACUUAGAACACCAAUUGCGAAGGCAGGUUACCAAGAUAUAACUGACGCUGAGGGACGAAAGCGUGGGGAGCGAAC
rnacentral:rRNA from 1 species